AGGCACUGCGUAGCCUACUAUAAGGAGCUUGCUCCUUUGAAGUUAGCGGCGGACGGGUGAGUAACACGUGGGUAACCUACCUAUAAGACUGGAAUAACUUCGGGAAACCGGAGCUAAUGCCGGAUAACAUAUAGAACCGCAUGGUUCUAUAGUGAAAGAUGGUUUUGCUAUCACUUAUAGAUGGACCCGCGCCGUAUUAGCUAGUUGGUAAGGUAAUGGCUUACCAAGGCGACGAUACGUAGCCGACCUGAGAGGGUGAUCGGCCACACUGGAACUGAGACACGGUCCAGACUCCUACGGGAGGCAGCAGUAGGGAAUCUUCCGCAAUGGGCGAAAGCCUGACGGAGCAACGCCGCGUGAGUGAUGAAGGUUUUCGGAUCGUAAAACUCUGUUAUUAGGGAAGAACAAAUGCGUAAGUAACUGUGCGCAUCUUGACGGUACCUAAUCAGAAAGCCACGGCUAACUACGUGCCAGCAGCCGCGGUAAUACGUAGGUGGCAAGCGUUAUCCGGAAUUAUUGGGCGUAAAGCGCGCGUAGGCGGUUUCUUAAGUCUGAUGUGAAAGCCCACGGCUCAACCGUGGAGGGUCAUUGGAAACUGGGAAACUUGAGUGCAGAAGAGGAAAGUGGAAUUCCAUGUGUAGCGGUGAAAUGCGCAGAGAUAUGGAGGAACACCAGUGGCGAAGGCGACUUUCUGGUCUGUAACUGACGCUGAUGUGCGAAAGCGUGGGGAUCAAACAGGAUUAGAUACCCUGGUAGUCCACGCCGGAAACGAUGAGUGCUAAGUGUUAGGGGGUUUCCGCCCCUUAGUGCUGCAGCUAACGCAUUAAGCACUCCGCCUGGGGAGUACGACCGCAAGUUGAAACUCAAAGGAAUUGACGGGGACCCGCACAAGCGGUGGAGCAUGUGGUUUAAUUCGAAGCGACGCGAAGAACCUUACCAAUCUUGACAUCCUUUGAAACUCUAGAGAUAGAGCCUUCCCCUUCGGGGACAAGUGACAGGUGGUG
rnacentral:rRNA from 1 species